rnacentral:rRNA from 1 species
CCUACGGGAGGCAGCAGUAGGGAAUAUUGCUCAAUGGGGGAAACGCUGAAGCAGCAACGCCGCGUGGAGGAUGAAGGUUUUAGGAUUGUAAAACCCUUUUGUUAGAGAAGAUUAUGACGGUAUGUAAGGAAUAAGCACCGGCUAACUACGUGCCACGAGCCGUGGUAAUACGGAGGGGGCAUGCGUUACUCGGAUCCACUGGGCGUAAGGGGUGCGUAGGGGGGGUAAUAAGUCAGAUGUGAAAUCCUGGAGCUUAACUACCGAACUGCAUUUGAAACUGUUACUCUGGAGAGUGGGAGAGGUAGGUGGAAUGCGUGGUGUAGGGGUAAAAUCCGUAGAGAUCAAGAGGAAUACUCAUUGCGAAGGCGACCUGCUGGCACAUAACUGACGUUGAGGCUCGAAGGCGUGGGGAGCGAACAGGAUUAGAUACCCUAGUAGUC